CCCAAGGUCACCCAAAAAGUCAGUAUCAAAGCUGACCCUUGGCCUCUCCCAGAGCCACCUCAGGGGUUGUGAGUUUGAAUCCCCCACUGCCCCUCACCUGCCUCCUAAAAGGUUACACAAACCCCCUUCACCUCUCUGGAUUUCAGACUGCCUUUUUGGGCGAAGGGGAUAAUCGCUUCUGAUGAAACCAGCUGAAACGUUUGUCUUUCCAGGUUCUAAAAAUACUACAGGAAGGCAUUAGAGGUUUGAUGAGUGCCGGGUUCUGACAGAUACGAUGAGGCGGCGUCUCCCGCAGGUCCGGGAAAGCAGAGAGCCCGUGUCGGCUGGCAGGGCUCCCUCCCCGUUCCCUAAACUGUCUGAGCCCCCCUUUCUCAGUCUCCCGGAGCGAGGAGGGGCCAGCUCCACUCCCGGGCCUGUGUGGACCGUAAGCCCGUCAAACGGCAGGGACCGUCUCUAUCUGUUGCCGACUUGUUCAUCCCAAGCGCUUAGUACAGUGCUCUGCACAUAGUAAGCGCUCAAUAAAUACUAUUGAAUGAAUGAAUGGUCCGGGGGGCGGGGACGGGGCGGAGGAGCCGGCUGCGGUCUCCAGGGAUGGGGAGCCAGGGAGAUGAUGCUGCGGCGGCGGCGGUUGCUAGGAGACGGGAGGCGGGGACCGGUCCUGCAGCUGGCGCUGGGUCCGAUGCGGUCCUGGAGGCUGGGGGAGGGGGUCGGAUGCGAGGCGGCCGCCCGGCCGGCAGAGCGGUUUGCUGGUAGCUAGAGCCGACCGCCUCUGUCUCCCUCCCUCCCUCCCUGACCGGGUUGUCCCCUCCCACGGCACCGCUGCCUCCAGACCCCGACUCCCCGGCAUCCAUGCUUCGGCGCCUUUGACGGCAGCGGGGCCAGGCCGGCCCCUCCCGAGAGUCCCGACCAUGACAGGGGAGGACGCUUCUAACACCCUGGGUCUGAUCAUCGGCGUGGGCCUGUCCCUCCUGCUGGUCGCUGCUCUCGGCUACACCCUCGCCAAGUGGUAUCAACGAGGCUACUGUUGGGACGGGCCCAACUUCGUCUUUAACUUGUACCAAAUCCGUCACCUGAAGUCUGUGGAAUUGGAGAUGGCUCCUCCCUUCACUGUCAGUGGCCAUCUCAGCCCCUCGGAGGGUGGGUACACCCGUUUCUAUGAUCGGACAGUCUGAGCAGGGAAUCGGGGAGCCCAAAAAAGGAAUGGUUGGCUUCUGGCCCCAAGAAGAGGACGAUGGAGCCGUUGGGACACACGGGACUGGGGAAGCCGUUUGGUCAGCCUGGACCCAGAAGGAGCUGGUGCUGGGGGUGGGCUGAGUUUUCAUUCAUGUUCCCUCAGUCCUUGGGGGCUGGGCUAGCCUGUGAGAUUAUUUAGGGGUCUCUGCUCACAGCCCAGAGGGCAGCUGACCCUGUCCUU
rnacentral:lncRNA from 1 species